CUUCCGUAGGUGAACCUGCGGAAGGAUCAUUAAUGAAUUCAGAACCAGGGCGGCGCAAGCUUAGCUCGAAUCAUCGGCUUCACAGCUGAUGAUAGUUCUAUCAUAUCCAUAACACCUGUGCACUGUUGGAUGCUUGCAUCCACUUUUAAACUAAACAUUAUUGUAACAAAUGUAGUCUUAUUAUAACAUAAUAAAACUUUCAACAACGGAUCUCUUGGCUCUCGCAUCGAUGAAGAACGCAGCGAAAUGCGAUAAGUAAUGUGAAUUGCAGAAUUCAGUGAAUCAUCGAAUCUUUGAACGCACCUUGCGCUCCUUGGUAUUCCGAGGAGCAUGCCUGUUUGAGUGUCAUGAAACCCUCAAACCCAAGUUUUGGAUUUCGAUCCAUGCUUGAGUUUGGAUUUGGAUGUUUGCCGGUGAUGAACCGACUCAUCUUAAAAGUAUUAGCUUGGAUCUGUCUAUAUGACUGGUUUGACUUGGCAUAAUAAGUAUUUUGCUGAGGACAUCUUCGGAUGGCCAGGACCUAGACUACUGUCUGCUAACUAAACCAUCACUUUAAGUGCAUCUUUGGAUGUUACUCAUUGUGUAACUUUGACAUCUGGCCUCAAAUCAAGUAGGACUACCCGCUGAACUUAAGCAUAUCAAUAAGCGGAGGAA
rnacentral:rRNA from 1 species